GCUCUAUCCAGUUUAGUAAAUAACAGUAUUAACCACACCAACCCUUUAUGCUUUAGGUUUCUCUAGGUAAUUUUAUGUUCCCAUGCUCCCCCUCAAGCGGACAGGACAACGAAGUUCUGCUGGUUUUUUUCCUCUGGAAAUCUAAGAUCUAAGCAUCCUGGUACACAUUGUAGAAGAGGAACCAGCGAAGGAGAAGGAAAACCAGAGACUGCCAAGUAAGAGCUCAGUUGGUAAUGCUGAUAGCCAUCUGAUGUGUUUUUUGAGAGAAUUCAAUGAAUUCAAACAUGAAAUGAACAAGGUGAUUGGAGAGCAGUGGGAGGAGAAGAGAGGAUGAGAAAAGUCCGGGAACGAACAGGAAGAAGACAAAAGAGCCCUUCUCUCUGCACACCAUUUUGUUUGAUUCUUGUCCCUCCUAUGGGUUUGACUCGGUGAAGUUAAGCUUGUAAAAAGCCAAGUUUUCCAAAUUCAAAACAUGGACUCUGCAUCACUGCACAUUAUGGUUUAAUGUACAAUAAGGCCAGGACCUUCUUGGAAACAAUGCUAAUCAAGUGGUUAUGGAUGUUAAUUCUUUUGCAAUAAAAACUGAC